GGCCCACGUCAUGGUAUGUCAGGAUGGCCGGGCGAUUCCCCUUGGGUGAGCCCCGAAUGACCACAUGCAGCAGCCCAUAGGGUGUCUCGAUGUCGUGUUCCUGGGGGACAAGGAGAGAUGGAAGAGCAGCGUGGAGGGAAAGAGGGCAGA